rnacentral:rRNA from 1 species
AUUGAACGCUGGCGGCAUGCUUUACAUAUGCAAGUCGAACGGCAGCGCGGGCUUCGGCCUGGCGGCGAGUGGCGAACGGGUGAGUAAUGCAUCGGAACGUGCCCAGUAGUGGGGGAUAGCCCGGCGAAAGCCGGAUUAAUACCGCAUACGACCUGAGGGUGAAAGCGGGGGACCGAAAGGCCUCGCGCUAUUGGAGCGGCCGAUGUCGGAUUAGCUAGUUGGUGGGGUAAAGGCUUACCAAGGCGACGAUCCGUAGCUGGUCUGAGAGGACGACCAGCCAAACUGGGACUGAGACACGGCCCAGACCCCUACGGGGGGCCGCAGUGGGGAAGUUUGGACAAUGGGGGCAACCCUGAUCCAGCCAUGCCGCGGGCGGGAAGAAGGCCUUCGGGUUUUAAACCGCUUUUGUUCGGGAAGAAAUCCUCUGGGCUAAUACCCCGGGGGGAUGACGGUACCGGAAGAAUAAGCACCGGCUAACUACGUG